AACUAAGUUUGUUAUUGGUAUGAGCUUUUGUGUGCAUACACACUUCUUCAAAUAUACCCUCUCACUAUAUAUAAGGGCCUGGUGACUUUUGUUUCAGUGUAUCUGAAGAUGUGUAUAUGAACACGAAAGCUCACACCAAUCAAUGUGCUCAGCCA